UUAGAGUGACGAAGUCGGAUACUGAUAUAAUAUGCAUUAGACGGGAAAAAAAAAAUUCAGGGUUAAAAAAAAAAUUCAAAUCUUUUUAUAUUUAACUACUCGUAUUACUUUUUUCACUAAAGUACCAUGUUAGCUUAAAAAAUCAGCAAAUGUUAGCUUAAAAAGAAAGCAACAGAUCAUAUAUAAAUACGGUAUUGGAUUCUAGUAAUUUUUAUCUUAGGUUAAGCUAGCAGCGACUAGUAAGGCCCUUACUUAGCAUAUUGUUGUCGGGCAGGGACGCACUCACUUCUCCUCAUCAAUCUCCUUUCUUCUUAGCCCUCGCUUGAAUGGCCAUUGCCGCCGCAGCUUCUCCCUCAUCUCUUCCACCGGCGCAAUUUGUUAUUCUCUCACCUCCAAACGCAUCGUCACGUUCCACAGACCCAAUCGUUCAGAUUUCUUCCUUGUCUUCAAAAGCCUGAAACCCUAACCCUAACCCUAACCCUAACCACAACUCUAAACGUCGCGCUUAUUGCAACUACUUAACGCUAAUUGCUAAUUGCUAAUUGCUAAUUGCUAAUUGCCACUGCAAAACGACAUUGGAAAUCGACAUUCAUCAUGAAGCAGACGCACAGCAAGGUUUGGUCAGUUUUCCCCUUUUUCUCUCUAUAUCUAUAUAGACACCUGUAUAUAUAUAUACGCACACAAAUCUGAAUACAAACCCUACCCUAACUCUUCAAUACUCUUCCUACCCCUAACCCUAACCACAACUCUAAACCCUAACCCUAACCCUAAUUACAACUAUAAACAACACACUAAUUGCAACUCCCUAACGCUAAUUACCAUUGGAAACCGACAUUCACAAUGAAGCAGACCAGCGAGGCUGGGUCAGUUUUUCCCUUUUUCUCUAUAUCUAUAUAAACAGCUAUACACACACACACAUACGCAGUCCCUUCUCUCUGUAUCAAUUGUAAAGUCGGCACUGCGAUUACUUAAGAUUUUUCCGUUGAUUUUUUGAAUUUAUCUAAUUUGAAUUGUUAGUGGUAAUUUAUCAUGUUUGUAUAGUUAGUUCUUCCAAUGGUGUGUGUAUGGGAAAUUUUCAAACGAAUUUGAAAUUGAUAUUCCAAUUUUUCCAUUAUAGGUGAAUGAGAUUAUGAAAAAGAUUUUCUCAUUGACAGUUAUAACAAAUUUUGAUUCUUUAUACUGUGUUUGAUAUCUAUUUGUUAUUUUAUUAUUGGCAAUUGUGUUUAUUAUCACUAUACUGUAGGCAACUUGGGUUUCAGAGGGAAAACUAGUUUAUAUUGGAUUCCAAUGAUUGAUUUUGAGAAUUUUAAAUUUCAUGGAUUUCAGGGCUAAAUUUAAUCCUUGUUUGUCUAUUAGUUCUCAGUUCUUCUCUUUAGUGCGGAGUAGAGCAAUUUGGUAGCUUGCAAGGUCAUCACCUUGAGAUUACGGGUUCAAAUCCUGUCUCCGCUGCGUUUUCAUUUUAUUUCUCCUGUCAUGAUGACUAAUUCAUUUAAUAUUCUUGCCUUUCAAGUGAAGAAAUGUCUUCUUUCCUAUUUGCCGAUCAUUACAGUUUUCAUUUAUUUAUUUUAUCUUGAUUGUAAGAAUUUGAUUAAAUAUUUGGGUAUUUGCUGCUAUAUCUGGCUAAGUCUUGAAUGGUCCUUGAUAGGUACUUCUGCAGUCUUGUUUCUUUCAGGUCUUGCCAGCUGUUGAUCUUAACUUAUUUAAUAGUUUGAAAGGCACAGUGGGGUCGUUUCUUUAUUUUUUAUUUUUUUAUACAUGUUCCUCUCACAUGGACUGUGUAUUUUCCUAGUUUUACUUUCUUGUUUUUGGUUGGACGGUGUACCCUUCUUUGAUGGCGUUGUACUGCUCUUGUUUCUGUUAAAUUAUAUGCAUCUGAACAAAUACACACACACACACACACACACACACACACAAAAUUGAUGUUCUAUUUUGAAAUCUCUCCUCUUACACAUCAUUGAUUUUUCCAGACUGUAUUUGUCAUAUACAUGUUCUACUUUGGAAUGCAUAACGAGGAUUAGCCAGAGUCUUUUGUCACAUUUUCUUUCUUUCCUUUCACACCUUCUGUUUUUUGUUGUGUGUUUUUUGAUCUAUCAUCCCUGUAUAUCUCUAUAGGCUCUUCUCUUUCUUUGCUAGGGCAUGCUGUCAUAUGAGCUGUUAGCUUUGGUCAAUAUUGAUGUUUGGCAUAUCAACAAUCCAUUUUUGCAAGGAUUCGAAGAUGAUAGAUUAUAUUAUAUUUUUCUUUUCCCUUUGCUGCUAUAUAUUGCACAAGAACUGUUGGAUGGUCGUCAUGGGUCUUUCUGCAGUCCCGUUUGUUUAUGGGUUUUGCCAUUGAUCUGAAUGUAUUUAAUGGUAAAAGAAGUGGGAUCAUUUUUUCUUUUCUGUUUUUAUUUUUGGACAGUGUUAGUGCACCUGUAACUGUAGCGACUACUCACGAACCUGAUAAUUCUUUUUAACCUGAUAAUUCUUUUUAACUUUAGCAGUAGUGUUGCAGAGCUUUUGUUUCUUUUAAAUCAUAUAUAGAACAUAUACAAAUGAAGUUCUGUUUUUUAGGCUUUUCUUUUACAUCAGUGUAUUUUCUAGGCUUCCACCAAUUCAAAAAAAAAAAAAAAAAAAAAAAAAAUUCCUACUCCUCUCUUUCCCUUUUUCUUUGUUUUAUUUUUUAUUUUAUUUUUAAUUUUUGUAGGCUAUCCUCUUUCCUUUUUACACAUUAGUGAUGAUUUUAGACUGUCACCAACUAUAAAAAGAAAAAAAAAAAAAAGUUCUCUUUUUAAUCUUUUCUUUCUUUUUUCAGUCUUCACUUACGGUUCUUUUUCUUAACUCAACUCUGCCUGUGUAGUGGUUAGUCACGUUAGUGCCAUAUCUUUACAUAGUUGGAUCCAAGUAGAAUGGUUACGCGAGAUACAAUAGCUUGAUGGCAAUUGGCAAACCUGUCUAUAUGAUUAUGUACCAUUUUCUUUCCUAUUGCGCUCGUGCAACAGCUGAGAACAUGUCUGUGCUGUGCGCAUUGGUGAGUUGGCUGUGUGACGUGAAGAGGCAUCAUUUUUGCCUUGGAGAAUAAAAUAUUGUGAGAAGCUUCUAAUCCUUUUUUCUUCUUGGAGUUGCAGCCAUUCUCGUUUUUUUUUUU